UGAGCAAUCUGCCCUUCUCUUUGGAAUAAGCGUUGGAAACGACGUCUAAUGCCGAAUACGACCUCCUUUCGCAUGAUCGGAGGUGGAAAGCUCCGGCGGAGAAGGAUGAGCUCGCGGCCUAUCAGCUAGUUGGUGUGGGUAACGCCCACAAGGCGACGACGGGUAGCCGGCCUGAGAGGGUGACCGGCCACACUGGGACUGAGACAUGGCCCAGACUCC
rnacentral:rRNA from 1 species